UUUCCGUUGGUGAACCAGCGGAAGGAUCAUUACAGAGUUCGUGCCCUUCGGGGUAGACCUCCCACCCUGUUUAUAUACUAUUGUUGCUUUGGCAGGCUGCCCUCACCAUGGGGCGUCCGGGUUCCGCCCGCGUCUCGCCUGCCAAAAGCCCCCUAAUUCUGUGUUCUGUGUCGUCUGAGUACUAUAUAAUAAGUUAAAACUUUCAACAACGGAUCUCUUGGUUCUG
rnacentral:misc_RNA from 1 species